UACAGAGGGGGCAAGCGUUGUUCGGAAUUACUGGGCGUAAAGGGCGUGUAGGCGGCCAACUAAGUCGGACGUGAAAUCCCCAGGCUCAACCUGGGAACUGCGUCCGAUACUGGAUGGCUUGAAUCCGGGAGAGGGAUGUGGAAUUCCAGGUGUAGCGGUGAAAUGCGUAGAUAUCUGGAGGAACACCGGUGGCGAAGGCGGCAUCCUGGACCGGUAUUGACGCUAAAGCGCGAAAGCCAGGGGAG
rnacentral:rRNA from 1 species